AUUGAACGCUGGCGGCAUGCCUUACACAUGCAAGUCGAACGGCAGCACGGAGCUUGCUCUGGUGGCGAGUGGCGAACGGGUGAGUAAUAUAUCGGAACGUACCCAAGAGUGGGGGAUAGCGUAGCGAAAGUUACGCUAAUACCGCAUACGAUCUCAGGAUGAAAGCAGGGGACCUUCGGGCCUUGUGCUCCUGGAGCGGCCGAUAUCUGAUUAGCUAGUUGGUGGGGUAAAGGCCCACCAAGGCAACGAUCAGUAGCUGGUCUGAGAGGACGACCAGCCACACUGGAACUGUGACACGGUCCAGACUCCUACGGGAGGCAGCAGUGGGGAAUUUUGGACAAUGGGGGCAACCCUGAUCCAGCAAUGCCGCGUGAGUGAAGAAGGCCUUCGGGUUGUAAAGCUCUUUUGUCAGGGAAGAAAAGGGAUUGGCUAAUAUCUAGUCCUCAUGACGGUACCUGAAGAAUAAGCACCGGCUAACUACGUGCCAGCAGCCGCAGUAA
rnacentral:rRNA from 1 species